rnacentral:rRNA from 1 species
UACGAAGGGUGCAAGCGUUACUCGGAAUUACUGGGCGUAAAGCGUGCGUAGGUGGUUUCUUAAGUCUGCUGUGAAAGCCCCGGGCUCAACCUGGGAAUUGCAGUGGAUACUGGGGAGCUAGAGUGCGGUAGAGGGUGGUGGAAUUCCCGGUGUAGCAGUGAAAUGCGUAGAGAUCGGGAGGAACAUCUGUGGCGAAGGCGGCCACCUGGACCAGCACUGACACUGAGGCACGAAAGCGUGGGGAGCAAACAGG